AACGAACGCUGGCGGCAGGCUUAACACAUGCAAGUCGAACGCUCCGCAAGGAGAGUGGCAGACGGGUGAGUAACACGUGGGAACGUACCCUUUACUACGGAACAACUCCGGGAAACUGGAGCUAAUACCGUAUGUGCCCUUCGGGGGAAAGAUUUAUCGGUAAAGGAUCGGCCCGCGUUGGAUUAGCUAGUUGGUGGGGUAAAGGCCUACCAAGGCGACGAUCCAUAGCUGGUCUGAGAGGAUGAUCAGCCACAUUGGGACUGAGACACGGCCCAAACUCCUACGGGAGGCAGCAGUGGGGAAUAUUGGACAAUGGGCGCAAGCCUGAUCCAGCCAUGCCGCGUGUGUGAUGAAGGCCUUAGGGUUGUAAAGCACUUUCACCGGAGAAGAUAAUGACGGUAUCCGGAGAAGAAGCCCCGGCUAACUUCGUGUCAGCCGCCGCGGUAAUAC
rnacentral:rRNA from 1 species